UACGAAGGGGGCUAGCGUUGCUCGGAAUCACUGGGCGUAAAGCGCACGUAGGCGGCUCUUUAAGUCAGGGGUGAAAUCCUGGAGCUCAACUCCAGAACUGCCCUUGAUACUGAGGAGCUUGAGUCCGGGAGAGGUGAGUGGAACUGCGAGUGUAGAGGUGAAAUUCGUAGAUAUUCGCAAGAACACCAGUGGCGAAGGCGGCUCACUGGCCCGGUACUGACGCUGAGGUGCGAAAGCGUGGGAGCAACAGGG
rnacentral:rRNA from 1 species